ACGACCAUAACUAUCAGACAACUCGGGAUCCCGUCCGCUCUCCGUUCGAUAAACUGAUAAGUGCUGAAUUAGUAGUUGGGUCGGUGACGACCAGCGAAUCCUCGGUGUUGUAUGUU
rnacentral:rRNA from 2 species